AGAGUUUGAUCAUGGCUCAGAGUGAACGCUGGCGGCAGGCCUAACACAUGCAAGUCGAACGGCAGCACAGGGGUGCUUGCUCCCUGGGUGGCGAGUGGCGGACGGGUGAGGAAUACAUCGGAAUCUACCUUGUCGUGGGGGAUAACCUCGGGAAACCGGGACUAAUACCGCAUACGACCUACGGGUGAAAGCGGAGGACCGCAAGGCUUCGCGCGAUUGGAUGAGCCGAUGUCGGAUUAGCUUGUUGGCGGGGUAACGGCCCACCAAGGCGACGAUCCGUAGCUGGUCUGAGAGGAUGAUCAGCCACACUGGAACUGAGACACGGUCCAGACUCCUACGGGAGGCAGCAGUGGGGAAUAUUGGACAAUGGGCGCAAGCCUGAUCCAGCCAUGCCGCGUGAGUGAAGAAGGCCCUCGGGUUGUAAAGCUCUUUUGUCCGGAAAGAAAAGCUUUCGGUUAAUACCCGGAAGUCCUGACGGUACCGGAAGAAUAAGCACCGGCUAACUUCGUGCCAGCAGCCGCGGUAAUACGAAGGGUGCAAGCGUUACUCGGAAUUACUGGGCGUAAAGCGUGCGUACGUGGUUUGGUAAGUCUGAUGUGAAAGCCCUGGGCUCAACCUGGGAAUUGCACUGGAUACUGGCAGGCUAGAGUGCGGUAGUAGGAUGGCGGAAUUCCCGGUGUAGUAGUGACUGCGUCAAGAUCGGGACGACCAUCGGUGGCGAUCGCUGUCUUCUCGACCAGCGCUCGACGCUGAGCAUGAAAGUGUGCGCAGCAAGCAGAUUACAUACCUGGUAUCCCCGC
rnacentral:rRNA from 1 species